UACGUAGGGUCCAAGCGUUAUCCGGAAUUACUGGGCGUAAAGCGUCUGUAGGCGGCUUUUCAAGUCGGGUGCGAAAUCUUGCGGCUCAACCGUAUAGACUGUGCCCGAAACUGAUUGGCUAGAGGUAGGUAGAGGCAAGUGGAAUUUCUGGUGUAGGAGUGACAUCCGUAGAUAUCAGAAGGAACACCAAUGGCGAAGGCAGCUUGCUGGGCCUUACCUGACGCUCAGAGACGAAAGCGUGGGGAGCGAACGGG
rnacentral:rRNA from 1 species